UGUCUAAGUCAUAGAGUCUGUAUUAAGGAAUUAGAAAAAUAUAAUUUUCAUUUAUUGGAUCGAUCAUUCAGGAGAUUGUCGUUUGGUGAUUGCGAUGAUCUUCUUUUUAUUGUUUCUAAGUGUGUAUGAGCUUUGUAGUAUAUUUUGUCACGAAAUCGCCAAAGGGGGAGAUUGUUAAGGAUGUUAUAGGUUGGCGGAUUUCGUAAUGUUGAAUGGAGUCUUGAAGAGUUGAUCGCGAAAGUUUGAAGAAAAGAUCCAAAUUGAAGAACAAAGACUCAUUCGGAAAGCUCGGCACCUAAGGUAUGAAGAAUGGAUGAUUUAUGGUGAAGUUAUUUAAUUAUAAUAAGUUCAGAAGGCUUAGAUUGCUUUAAAAAUUAUUUUACUGAACUUGUAUGUGUUCUGGGACCG
rnacentral:lncRNA from 1 species